rnacentral:rRNA from 1 species
CCAUGCCGCGUGUGUGAAGAAGGCCUUCGGGUUGUAAAGCACUUUCAGUCGUGAGGAAGGUGGUGGUGUUAAUAGCACUAUCAUUUGACGUUAGCGACAGAAGAAGCACCGGCUAACUCCGUGCCAGCAGCCGCGGUAAUACGGAGGGUGCGAGCGUUAAUCGGAAUUACUGGGCGUAAAGCGCAUGCAGGUGGUUUGUUAAGUCAGAUGUGAAAGCCCGGGGCUCAACCUCGGAAUUGCAUUUGAAACUGGCAGACUAGAGUACUGUAGAGGGGGGUAGAAUUUCAGGUGUAGCGGUGAAAUGCGUAGAGAUCUGAAGGAAUACCGGUGGCGAAGGCGGCCCCCUGGACAGAUACUGACACUCAGAUGCGAAAGCGUGGGGAGCAAACAGGAUUAGAUACCCC